rnacentral:rRNA from 1 species
CAUGGUGUGCCCGCAAGGGAUAGUAAGUACAGGUGGUGCAUGGCUGUCGUCAGCUCGUGUCGUGAGAUGUUGGGUUAAGUCCCGCAACGAGCGCAACCCUUAUCCUUAGUUGUUUCCACGAAAGUGGUUACCCUCUAAGGAGACUGCCUCGGACAACGGGGAGGAAGUGGGGAUGACGUCAAGUCCGCAUGCUCCUUACGUCUAGGGCUACACACGUCCUACAAUGGGGUUGACAAUGGGAUGCAAUACCGCAAGGUGGAGCGAAUCCCCAAACGACCCCUCAGUUCGGAUUGCAGUCUGCAACUCGACUGCAUGAAGUCGGAAUCGCUAGUAAUGGCAGGUCAGCAUACUGCCGUGAAUACGUUCCCGGGUCUU